UCUUGCGCAAUGGGCGAAAGCCUGACGCAGCGACGCCGCGUGAGGGCUGAAGGUCUUCGGAUCGUAAACCUCUGUCAGCAGGGAAGAACGGUCACUGUGCUAAUCAGCAGUGAAUUGACGGUACAUGCAAAGGAUGCCCCGGCUAACUCAGUGCCAGAAGCAGCGGUAAUACGGAGGGUGCGAGCGUUAAUCGGAAUUACUGGGCGUAAAGCGCUCGUAGGCGGUAUGUCAAGUCAAGGGUGAAAUCCCCGCGCUCAACGUGGGAACUGCCUUUGAAACUGGCAAACUGGAGUGUGUGAGAGGAUAGUGGAAUUCCAGGUGUAGGAGUGAAAUCCGUAGAUAUCUGGAGGAACAUCAGUGGCGAAGGCGACUAUCUGGCACAUAACUGACGCUGAGGAGCGAAAGCGUGGGUAGCAAACAGG
rnacentral:rRNA from 1 species